rnacentral:rRNA from 1 species
UACGUAGGGUGCAAGCGUUAAUCGGAAUUACUGGGCGUAAAGGGUGCGUAGGCGGGUCUUUUAAGUCAGGGGUGAAAUCCUGGAGCUCAACUCCAGAACUGCCUUUGAUACUGAAGAUCUUGAGUUCGGGAGAGGUGAGUGGAACUGCGAGUGUAGAGGUGAAAUUCGUAGAUAUUCGCAAGAACACCAGUGGCGAAGGCGGCUCACUGGCCCGAUACUGACGCUGAGGCACGAAAGCGUGGGGAGCGAACAGG